GACGAACGCUGGCGGCGUGCUUAACACAUGCAAGUCGAACGGAAAGGCCCUGCUUUUGUGGGGUGCUCGAGUGGCGAACGGGUGAGUAACACGUGAGUAACCUGCCCUUGACUUUGGGAUAACUUCAGGAAACUGGGGCUAAUACCGGAUAGGAGCUCCUGCUGCAUGGUGGGGGUUGGAAAGUUUCGGCGGUUGGGGAUGGACUCGCGGCUUAUCAGCUUGUUGGUGGGGUAGUGGCUUACCAAGGCUUUGACGGGUAGCCGGCCUGAGAGGGUGACCGGCAGUCUGAGGACGGAGAACGGCCCCAAUCGGCAAGGGGAGGAGGCAGGGGGGGAAAUGGCGCCAGGGGCGGAGGACGGAGGCAGAAGGGCGGCGGGAGGGAGGGCGGCGUCGGGGUUGUACACCGAGUCGGCCUGGAGGGAAGCGGGAGGCGGGGUAAUGGAUAAAGAAGCCCCGGCUACCACGUGGCCAGUGGCCGAGGAAAUAAUCGGAGAGCACCCUCUGAAC
rnacentral:rRNA from 1 species